rnacentral:rRNA from 1 species
GGUCUCGUGGGCUCGUAGAUGUGUAUAAGAGACAGGAACCAGUACCGUGAGGGAAAGGUGAAAAGAACCGUGAAUAACGGAGUGAAAUAGACCCUGAAACCAUACGCUUACAAGCGGUCGGAGCGGCGUGAGCCGUGACGGCGUGCCUUUUGCAUAAUGAGCCUACGAGUUACUGUUACCAGCGAGGAUAAGUAUUUCAGAUACGAAUCCGUAGCGAAAGCGAGUCUGAAUAGGGCGGCUAAUAGUUGGUAGUAGUAGACGCGAAACCUGGUGAUCUACCCUUGGGCAGGUUGAAGCGCUGGUAACACAGCGUGGAGGACCGAACUGGUUGUCGUUGAAAAGACUUCGGAUGACCUGAGGGUAGGGGUGAAAGGCCAAUCAAACUGGGAAAUAGCUCGUACUCCCCGAAAUGCAUUUAGGUGCAGCGUUGUAAUAGAGUUUAAUAGAGGUAGAGCUACUGAUUGGAUGCGGGGGUUUCACCGCCUACCAAUUCCUGACAAACUCCGAAUGCUAUUAAAUGCUCAUCAGCAGUGAGGGUAUGGGUGCUAAGGUCCAUAUCCUAAAGGGAAAGAACCCGGACCAUCAGCUAAGGUCCCCAAAUAUAUGCUAAGUUGACCAAACGCGGUCUGACUGCACUGACAGCUAGGAUGUUGGCUUGGAAGCAGCCAUACAUUUAAAGAGUGCGUAACAGCUCACUAGUCGAGCGGUUGGGCAUGGAUAAUAAACGGGCAUAAGCAUAUUACCGAAGCUAUGGCAACGAAAGUUGGGUAGGGGAGCAUUCUAUCGGCGCAGAAGCAUCACUGUGAGGUGAUGUGGAGCUUAUAGAAAAGAAAAUGUAGGCAUAAGUAACGAUAAGGCAGGCGAGAAACCUGCCCGCCGAAAGAUCAAGGUUUCCUCAGCUAUGCUAAUCAGCUGAGGGUUAGUCGGGGACUAACGCGAACCCGAGUAGGGGUAGUGGAUGUACAAUAGGUUAAUAUUCCUAUACCAUUAGUCUGUUAAAAGUGACGGAAUGAGAUAACUACCGCGUACUGACGGAAUAGUACGUUUAAGGAGUUGUUAUGACUUCGAAAGUACGCUGAGGCUUCGGCCGAGGUGAGUGUGGUGACAACGUUUCCAAGAAAAGCGAAGGCUAAUGCCCGUACCGUAAACCGACACAGGUGAUUGGGAUGAGAAUUCUAAGGCGCUCGAGAGAUUCAUGGCUAAGGAACUAGGCAAAAUAGACCUGUAACUUAGGGAGAAAGGUCGCCUAUCAUUAGAUAGGCCGCAGUGAAAAGGUCCAAGCGACUGUUUAUCAAAAACACAGGACUCUGCAAAAUCGAAAGAUGAAGUAUAGGGUCUGACACCUGCCCGGUGCUGGAAGGUUAAGAGGAGAGCUUAGCAGCAAUGCGAAGGUUUGAAUUGAAGCCCCAGUAAACGGCGGCCGUAACUAUAACGGUCCUAAGGUAGCGAAAUUCCUUGUCGGGUAAGUUCCGACCUGCACGAAUGGUGUAACGAUUUGGACACUGUCUCGGCCAUGAGCUCGGUGAAAUUGUAGUAUCGGUGAAGAUGCCGAUUACCCGCAGUGGGACGAAAAGACCCUGUGCACCUUUACUAUAUCUUCGUAUUGGUCUUGGAUAAGUGAUGCGUAGGAUAGGUGGGAGACUAAGAAGCGGCUAUUCCGGUAGUUGUGGAGUCAUUGUUGAAAUACCACCCUUUGCUUAUCUGAGGUCUAACCCUGCUAGGAGCAGGGGACAAUUCGUGGAGGGUAGUUUGACUGGGGUGGUCGCCUCCAAAAGAGUAACGGAGGCUUCUAAAGGUUCCCUCAGCACGCUUGGUAACCGUGCGUAGAGUGCAAUGGCAUAAGGGAGCUUGACUGAGAGACCCACAAGUCGAUCAGGUACGAAAGUAGAGCAUAGUGAUCCGGUGGUUCCGUAUGGAAGGGCCAUCGCUCAAAGGAUAAAAGGUACUCCGGGGAUAACAGGCUGAUCACUCCCAAGAGCUCAUAUCGACGGAGUGGUUUGGCACCUCGAUGUCGGCUCGUCACAUCCUGGGGCUGGAGAAGGUCCCAAGGGUUGGGCUGUUCGCCCAUUAAAGUGGCACGCGAGCUGGGUUCAGAACGUCGUGAGACAGUUCGGUCUCUAUCUAUUGUGGGCGUAGGAUAUUUGCGGGGAUUUGACACUAGUACGAGAGGACCGUGUCGGACGCACCGCCGGUGGAUCAGUUGUCCCGCCAGGGGCAUAGCUGAGUAGCUGUGUGCGGAUAGGAUAAGUGCUGAAAGCAUCUAAGCACGAAGCCGUCCUCAAGAUGAGAUAUCCAUAUAAGGGACGUUAGAGACGAUGACGUUGAUAGGCUGUAGGUGUAAGUGCAGUAAUGUAUUUAGCCGAGCAGUACUAAUUUCCCAAGAAUGCUUUAUCCC